rnacentral:rRNA from 1 species
AGUGGCGGACGGGUGAGUAACGCGUGGGUAACCUGCCUCACACAGGGGGAUAACAGUUGGAAACGACCGCUAAUACCGCAUAACCCGCUAGGGCCGCAUGGCCCGGACGGAAAAGAUUUAUCGGUGUGAGAUGGACCCGCGUUGGAUUAGCUAGUUGGCAGGGUAACGGCCUACCAAGGCGACGAUCCAUAGCCGGCCUGAGAGGGUGAACGGCCACAUUGGGACUGAGACACGGCCCAAACUCC